rnacentral:rRNA from 1 species
GUGCCAGCAGCCGCGGUAAUACGUAGGGUGCGAGCGUUAAUCGGAAUUACUGGGCGUAAAGCGAGCGCAGACGGUUAAAUAAGUCAGAUGUGAAAUCCCCGAGCUCAACUUGGGACGUGCAUUUGAAACUGUGUAACUAGAGUAUUGUAGAGGAAGGUAGAAUUCCACGUGUAGCGGUGAAAUGCGUAGAGAUGUGGAGGAAUACCGGUGGCGAAGGCGGCCUUCUGGACAGAUACUGACGCUGAGAUGCGAAAGCGUGGGGAGCAAACAGGGAUUAGAUACCCUGGUAGUCCACGCUGUAAACGAUGUCGAUUUGGAGUUUGUUGCCUAGAGUGAUGGGCUCCGAAGCUAACGCGAUAAAUCGACCGCCUGGGGAGUACGGCCGCAAGGUUAAAACUCAAAGGAAUUGACGGGGGCCCGCACAAGCGGUGGAGCAUGUGGUUUAA